GCUGUCACACUCAGAGGAAAUGUAAGCAUGUUUUUCAUUCUUAUAUGUGGUCUGUUUUAAGUUUGGGUUUAUGGUUUUGCUUUGUCUCUAAAUUUUGUUGUCAUCUAUUUCCCAUUCUUUGUUUCCAGAUAUAAAUGCUCUGUCUUGACUCUUAGCUUUCAAAUUUCAUAUUGAAGUUUAACAUUGUCAUUGCUUGAUUCUUCUAACAUUUUGAGAAUAAUCUUUAAAUAACUAGAAUACUUAAAUUAGUGUGUUCUAAUUCUAUUGGAAUUAAUAUGGACUUCCUUAAUGAAAAUGAGACUCGAGAAUCUAUCUUUAAUAACAACUAAAAUGCAAGUGAGGGCAACAGAUCUAGCUGUGUAACUGGUUAUCAAUUAUGGUCAGCAGUAGUAAUGAUGAAUGUAAAUAUUGGUAGUAAAGGUGGCAUUAUUUUAACAUAGCAGUUAAUUGGCAAUGGUGAUGGUUGUAAUAUGAUGAAGUUGCAAAUUAGUGUUUUUCAAGUGCAAUUUUUGUCAUGUGCAAUCACAUUUCAAAUUUUUUGUAUUAAUUUUUUU
rnacentral:misc_RNA from 1 species